rnacentral:rRNA from 1 species
UACAGAGGGUGCUAGCGUUAAUCGGAAUUACUGGGCGUAAAGAGUACGUAGGUGGCGAAAUAAGUUAGAUGUGAAAGGCUUGGGCUCAACCUAAGAAUUGCAUUUAAAACUGUAUUGCUAGAGUUUUAUAGAGGUAAGUGGAAUUUCCGGUGUAGCGGUGAAAUGCGUAGAUAUCGGAAGGAACAUCAGUGGCGAAGGCGACUUACUGGGUAAAAACUGACACUGAGGUACGAAAGCGUGGGUAGCAAACAGG